rnacentral:rRNA from 1 species
UGGGGAAUAUUGCACAAUGGGCGCAAGCCUGAUGCAGCCAUGCCGCGUGUAUGAAGAAGGCCUUCGGGUUGUAAAGUACUUUCAGCGGGGAGGAAGGCGAUAAGGUUAAUAACCUUGUCGAUUGACGUUACCCGCAGAAGAAGCACCGGCUAACUCCGUGCCAGCAGCCGCGGUAAUACGGAGGGUGCAAGCGUUAAUCGGAAUUACUGGGCGUAAAGCGCACGCAGGCGGUCUGUCAAGUCGGAUGUGAAAUCCCCGGGCUCAACCUGGGAACUGCAUUCGAAACUGGCAGGCUAGAGUCUUGUAGAGGGGGGUAGAAUUCCAGGUGUAGCGGUGAAAUGCGUAGAGAUCUGGAGGAAUACCGGUGGCGAAGGCGGCCCCCUGGACAAAGACUGACGCUCUGGUGCGAAAGCGUGGGGAGCAAACA